rnacentral:rRNA from 1 species
UACGAAGGGGGCGAGCGUUGUUCGGAUUUACUGGGCGUAAAGGGCGCGCAGGCGGCUUAUUUUGUCAGGCGUGAAAGCCCCGGGCUUAACCUGGGACUGCGUUUGAUACGGAUGGGCUAGAGUUCAGGAGAGGAGAGUGGAAUUCCCAGUGUAGAGGUGAAAUUCGUGAGAUAUUGGGAAGAACACCGGUGGCGAAGGCGGCUCUCUGGACCGAUACUGACGCUGAGGCGCGAAAGCGUGGGGAGCAACAGG